GCUGGCGGCGUGGAUAAGACAUGCAAGUCGAGCGAGAUUUUUUCUUGUAGCAAUACAGGGAAAAGUCUAGCGGCGAACGGGUGUUUAACACGUGGGCAACCUGCCAAGAAGUGGGGGAUAGCUCGCCGAAAGGCGAAUUAAUACCGCAUGUGAUCAGAGUGGACAUCCAUUCGAAAUCAAAGUCGGGGCAACCUGACGCUUCUUGAGGGGCCCGCGGCCUAUCAGCUAGUUGGUGAGGUAACGGCCCACCAAGGCUUAGACGGGUAGCUGGUCUGAGAGGACGACCAGCCACACUGGGACUGAGACACGGCCCAGACACCUACGGGUGGCAGCAGUCGAGAAUUUUUCUCAAUGGGGGAAACCCUGAAGGAGCGACGCCGCGUGGAGGAUGAAGGUCUUCGGAUUGUAAACUCCUGUCAUUGGGGAACAAGGCGUAAAUAUUAACUGUAUUUGCGUUGAUAGUACCCGAAGAGGAAGGGACGGCUAACUCUGUGCCAGCAGCCGCGGUAAUACAGAGGUCUCAAGCGUUGUUCGGAUUCAUUGGGCGUAAAGGGUGCGUAGGCGGCGCGGUAAGUCGGGUGUGAAAUCUCGGAGCUUAACUCCGAAACUGUAUUCGAUACUGCUGUGCUUGAGGACUGGAGAG
rnacentral:rRNA from 1 species